rnacentral:rRNA from 1 species
AGUGAACGCUGGCGGUAGGCCUAACACAUGCAAGUCGAACGGCAGCACAGUAAGAGCUUGCUCUUACGGGUGGCGAGUGGCGGACGGGUGAGGAAUACAUCGGAAUCUACUUUUUCGUGGGGGAUAACGUAGGGAAACUUACGCUAAUACCGCAUACGACCUACGGGUGAAAGCAGGGGAUGUUCGGACCUUGCGCGAUUGAAUGAGCCGAUGUCGGAUUAGCUAGUUGGCGGGGUAAAGGCCCACCAAGGCGACGAUCCGUAGCUGGUCUGAGAGGAUGAGCAGCCACACUGGAACUGAGACACGGUCCAGACUCCUACGGGAGGCAGCAGUGGGGAAUAUUGGACAAUGGGCGCAAGCCUGAUCCAGCCAUACCGCGUGGGUGAAGAAGGCCUUCGGGUUGUAAAGCCCUUUUGUUGGGAAAGAAAAGCAGCAGGUUAAUACCCCGCUGUUCUGACGGUACCCAAAGAAUAAGCACCGGCUAACUUCGUG